rnacentral:rRNA from 1 species
GCAAGUCGAGGGACCGGCGCACGGGUGAGUAACACGUAUCCAACCUUCCGUUUACUCAGGGAUAGCCUUUCGAAAGAAAGAUUAAUACCUGAUAGUAAACGAUGGGGAUGCGUUCCAUUAGGUAGUAGGCGGGGUAACGGCCCACCUAGCCGACGAUGGAUAGGGGUUCUGAGAGGAAGGUCCCCCACAUUGGAACUGAGACACGGUCCAAACUCUACGGGAGGCAGCAGUGAGGAAUAUUGGUCAAUGGGCGAGAGCCUGAACCAGCCAAGUAGCGUGAAGGAUGAAGGUCUACGGAUUGUAAACUUCUUUUAUACGGGAAUAUGUACCGUAUGAAUAAGCAUCGGCUAACUCCGUGCCAGCAGCCGCGGUAAUACGGAGGAUGCGAGCGUUAUCCGGAUUUAUUGGGUUUAAAGGGAGCGCAGACGGGAGAUUAAGUCAGUUGUGAAAGUUUGCGGCUCAACCGUAAAAUUGCAGUUGAUACUGGUUUCCUUGAGUGCAGUUGAGGCAGGCGGAAUUCGUGGUGUAGCGGUGAAAUGCUUAGAUAUCACGAAGAACCCCGAUUGCGAAGGCAGCUUGCUAAACUGUAACUGACGUUCAUGCUCGAAAGUGUGGGUAU